rnacentral:rRNA from 1 species
UGCUGAAGCAACAAAUGCCCUGCUUCCAGGAAAAGCCUCUAAGCAUCAGGUAACAUCAAAUCGUACCCCAAACCGACACAGGUGGUCAGGUAGAGAAUACCAAGGCGCUUGAGAGAACUCGGGUGAAGGAACUAGGCAAAAUGGUGCCGUAACUUCGGGAGAAGGCACGCUGACACGUAGGUGAAGUGAUUUACUCAUGGAGCUGAAGUCAGUCGAAGAUACCAGCUGGCUGCAACUGUUUAUUAAAAACACAGCACUGUGCAAACAUGAAAGUGGACGUAUACGGUGUGACGCCUGCCCGGUGCCGGAAGGUUAAUUGAUGGGGUCAGCGCAAGCGAAGCUCCUGAUCGAAGCCCCGGUAAACGGCGGCCGUAACUAUAACGGUCCUAAGGUAGCGAAAUUCCUUGUCGGGUAAGUUCCGACCUGCACGAAUGGCGUAAUGAUGGCCAGGCUGUCUCCACCCGAGACUCAGUGAAAUUGAACUCGCUGUGAAGAUGCAGUGUACCCGCGGCAAGACGGAAAGACCCCGUGAACCUUUACUAUAGCUUGACACUGAACAUUGAGCCUUGAUGUGUAGGAUAGGUGGGAGGCUUUGAAGUGUGGACGCCAGUCUGCAUGGAGCCGACCUUGAAAUACCACCCUUUAAUGUUUGAUGUUCUAACGUGGACCCGUAAUCCGGGUUGCGGACAGUGUCUGGUGGGUAGUUUGACUGGGGCGGUCUCCUCCUAAAGAGUAACGGAGGAGCACGAAGGUUGGCUAAUCCUGGUCGGACAUCAGGAGGUUAGUGCAAUGGCAUAAGCCAGCUUGACUGCGAGCGUGACGGCGCGAGCAGGUGCGAAAGCAGGUCAUAGUGAUCCGGUGGUUCUGAAUGGAAGGGCCAUCGCUCAACGGAUAAAAGGUACUCCGGGGAUAACAGGCUGAUACCGCCCAAGAGUUCAUAUCGACGGCGGUGUUUGGCACCUCGAUGUCGGCUCAUCACAUCCUGGGGCUGAAGUAGGUCCCAAGGGUAUGGCUGUUCGCCAUUUAAAGUGGUACGCGAGCUGGGUUUAGAACGUCGUGAGACAGUUCGGUCCCUAUCUGCCGUGGGCGCUGGAGAACUGAGGGGGGCUGCUCCUAGUACGAGAGGACCGGAGUGGACGCAUCACUGGUGUUCGGGUUGUCAUGCCAAUGGCACUGCCCGGUAGCUAAAUGCGGAAGAGAUAAGUGCUGAAAGCAUCUAAGCACGAAACUUGCCCCGAGAUGAGUUCUCCCUGAGACUUAGAGUCUCCUGAAGGAACGUUGAAGACGACGACGUUGAUAGGCCGGGUGUGUAAGCGCAGCGAUGCGUUGAGCUAACCGGUACUAAUGAACCGUGAGGCUUAACCUUACA